GCAGCAAAAACAGUUUGCAUUUGUUUUUCCGCGUGUUCGCACACGUUCACGGCAGCGAGAACAACAACGUGCGGUGUUGUGUGUGAGCCUGCCGCAAAAAUCAAAUGAAAGUCCAACUGCAAAGUAAAGCUAAAAGAAAGUCGACAAAAGUGGCAAUAUGCAGUGCGUGUGCAUAGAAAAACCAGAUAUACAGCGGCCACAGGGUAUUGUACUUUGGACAAGUGAAAUAUCCCCCAAACGCCAGUGAAAAUCGAAGGAAAAACCAACGCAGCAUACGCAGAAAACACCGGAUUUGCUGGGAAACCGGACAAAAAUGCUAGGCAGCCAAAUCGGCUGCCUUUGAGGCUUAGUGAGUGGCUCAAGGUGUGUGAAUCUAAAUAUUCCUCCAUCACGGAGACCUUUUUUAAGACAGAAAAGCCUAGAGAAACUAAUAAUAAAAACUUUCGAAUUAUUAUGAGAAUCUUCUAUAUUUGAAAUAUUUUCAAAUUCAAAUUUAAACAACUUUAUUCUUAAUGAACUAAUUGAUAAUUAAUUACAUAAUAGUAAACAAAGCUCAAAUAGACUGAAAUAGAGUCCAAAUAUAUUACGAAAGUAAAAUGCAAUUAAUUCAACAUAUCAUAUAAAUUAAUUAGAACAAAUUGCAUUUAAGUUAUUAAAAAGCAAGAUCAAGCAAAACAAAGCAAAACAAGCGUAUAAUUAAACAAAAACAGAGAAAAAAAACACAGGGCUGCAAAUCCAAUGAACAAAAGUCAAAAAUAAACACGAAAAGAGGCGAGAAUUAAGUGAACAGAUAUAAAAAAGCAGAUCAAAGUGCAAAAAGUGUGUGGUGGCUUCAUCGCGAAGAACAAUAACCCCUCUAAUACUGCAUAAUUAAUUUCUUUCAAAUACUCCGUUUAGUUCGCGUUUCAAUGCAAUUCAAUAAAUUCAAUAAAUUAAUAUGUUAAAUCCAGCAGCCAGAGGAACGGCGACAUAAAUGGAUCAUCAAUCGUAGAGGCAGCCGAAAAGAA